rnacentral:rRNA from 1 species
GACGAACGCUGGCGGCGUGCCUAAUACAUGCAAGUCGAACGAGUGGCGGAUGGGUGAGUAAUGUCUGGGUAACUGCCUGAUGGAGGGGGCUAACUCGUGGACACGGUAGCUAAUACCGCAUACCAUCAGAUGUGCCCAGAUGGGAUUAGCGAGUAGGUGGGGUAACGGCUCACCUAGGCGACGAUACCUAGCUGGUCUGAGAGGAUGACCAGCCACACUGGAACUGAGACACGGUCCAGACUCCUACGGGAGGCAGCAGUGGGGAAUAUUGCACAAUGGGCGCAAGCCUGAUGCAGCCAUGCCGCGUGUAUGAAGAAGGCCUUCGGGUUGUAAAGUACUUUCAGCGGGGAGGCGUUACCCGCAGAAGAAUCACCGGCUAACUCCGUGCCAGCAGCCGCGGUAAUUC